UUUUUUUUUUUGUUUUUUUUUUUUUUUUUAUAGAGAUAGAUAACAUGCUAUCAAUUUUAUUUAUUUUAUUUAAAAUUCGUUUUAUUUGUUUUAUUUAAAAAUAAAUAUAGUUGAAAAUAUAAAUUAACAAAAAUUCGAACUUGAAACCUCAGAUACCAAUCAUCAAGUCCUUUGCCACUUACGCUAGAGACGGUCAAUGAAGUGAAUUGAAAUUUUGACAAGUUCCACGAGCAGAAAUCUCCAUUACUUCUACU
rnacentral:lncRNA from 1 species